AUACACUUAUGAAUUUAUACAACUUUGGCAGUUAUCUGAGCUGAACCCUACCAAUUUGCUAGAAUUAUUUUGAAAUAAUUAUUGCAUAUUCAUAACUUAAGCCUUGGAUGUUGGACUCUCACCAUCAAAUAAUUCCUGAAACAGCAUUUAGAACCAUUUUAACACAGUGUUUUUCUAGAACAUUGUUUCUUACUGCUUUUUGCCACUAGAUGGAAGAAGCAGGUUAACAAAAUGAUAUUUUUGGUGUUUUAUUCAACUCUACCCAGAAACAACCACAACACUAUAUUUAAACUAAUGACAGUCUCAGCAUUCUGUUUUAUUUUUAGUGAAGUAUUUCUUUUCAUGUACAUACUAGAUCUAAAAAGUGUAUUUCUUUUGUAUUUUUAUAGAGAUUAAUUUUCUUUUUAUUUUUUUAAAGGACUUAAAUUUUCGAAAACAACCAAGAAGGAAAGCAACUGCUAUUGGAAGAGAAGAGGCAAAGACAGCACCUGGUCCUACUGCUCUCCAACGAUGAUGCAUUUGCACCAUCGCCUGGAGUGUUUUAAAACUUUCAACCUGAAGUGGAUUAUGGGAGAUGACUGGGGAGCAGCCAGACUCGGAGAUGUGGAAAGAGCUUUCCUGUGAUCCUUUACCUUCUGACAACACAGGUUAUAACUCAUGAAGAAAGGCACUUAACACUCCAUGUACCACCACCUUUUGGCCUCAGCUGGACAGCUGAAGUAAAAUCAUUGUCUGCUACCGCUGUAAGUGUUCCAACAACAUGCCAGAAAUAAAUCAUUUAAUUGAA